rnacentral:rRNA from 1 species
UACGUAGGGGGCUAGCGUUGUCCGGAAUCAUUGGGCGUAAAGAGCGUGUAGGCGGUCCGGUAAGUCCGCUGUGAAAACUCGAGGCUCAACCUCGAGACGUCGGCGGAAACCAUCUGGCUAGAGUCCGGAAGAGGAGAGUGGAAUUCCUGGUGUAGCGGUGAAAUGCGCAGAUAUCAGGAAGAACACCAAUGGCGAAAGCAGCUCUCUGGGACGGUACUGACGCUGAGACGCGAAAGCGUGGGGAGCGAACAGG